rnacentral:rRNA from 1 species
GUGUAGCGGUGAAAUGCGUAGAGAUGUGGAGGAACACCAGUGGCGAAGGCGACUCUCUGGUCUGUAACUGACGCUGAGGAGCGAAAGCGUGGGGAGCGAACAGGAUUAGAUACCCUGGUAGUCCACGCCGUAAACGAUGAGUGCUAAGUGUUAGGGGGUUUCCGCCCCUUAGUGCUGCAGCUAACGCAUUAAGCACUCCGCCUGGGGAGUACGGUCGCAAGACUGAAACUCAAAGGAAUUGACGGGGGCCCGCACAAGCGGUGGAGCAUGUGGUUUAAUUCGAAGCAACGCGAAGAACCUUACCAGGUCUUGACAUCCUCUGACAAUCCUAGAGAUAGGACGUCCCCUUCGGGGGCAGAGUGACAGGUGGUGCAUGGUUGUCGUCAGCUCGUGUCGUGAGAUGUUGGGUUAAGUCCCGCAACGAGCGCAACCCUUGAUCUUAGUUGCCAGCAUUCAGUUGGGCACUCUAAGGUGACUGCCGGUGACAAACCGGAGGAAGGUGGGGAUGACGUCAAAUCAUCAUGCCCCUUAUGACCUGGGCUACACACGUGCUACAAUGGACAGAACAAAGGGCAGCGAAACCGCGAGGUUAAGCCAAUCCCACAAAUCUGUUCUCAGUUCGGAUCGCAGUCUGCAACUCGACUGCGUGAAGCUGGAAUCGCUAGUAAUCGCGGAUCAGCAUGCCGCGGUGAAUACGUUC